UGGGGAAUUUUGGACAAUGGGCGAAAGCCUGAUCCAGCAAUGCCGCGUGUGUGAAGAAGGCCUUCGGGUUGUAAAGCACUUUUGUCCGGAAAGAAAUCCUUGGCUCUAAUACAGUCGGGGGAUGACGGUACCGGAAGAAUAAGCACCGGCUAACUACGUGCCAGCAGCCGCGGUAAUACGUAGGGUGCAAGCGUUAAUCGGAAUUACUGGGCGUAAAGCGUGCGCAGGCGGUUUGCUAAGACCGAUGUGAAAUCCCCGGGCUCAACCUGGGACUGCAUGGUGACUGGCAGGCUAGAGUAUGGCAGAGGGGGGUAGAAUUCCACGUGUAGCAGUGAAAUGCGUAGAGAUGUGGAGGAAUACCGAUGGCGAAGGCAGCCCCUGGCCAAGUACUGACGCUCAUGCACGAAAGUGUGGGGAGCAAACNGGAUUAAUACCCUGGUAGUCCACGCCCUAAANGAUGUCAACUAGUUGUUGGGGAUUCAUUUUCCUUAGUAACGUAGCUAACGCGUGAAGUUGACCGCCUGGGGGAGUACGGUCGCAAGAUUAAAACUCAAAGAAUUGACGGGGUCA
rnacentral:rRNA from 1 species